UGAGGUAGUAGGUUGUGUAGU
rnacentral:ncRNA from 2 species